GACGAACGCUGGCGGCGUGCCUAACACAUGCAAGUCGAGCGAAUGAAGUUCCUUCGGGAACGGAUUUAGCGGCGGACGGGUGAGUAACACGUGGGCAACCUGCCUCAUAGAGGGGAAUAGCCUUCCGAAAGGGAGAUUAAUACCGCAUAAGAUUGUAGUACCGCAUGGUACAGCAAUUAAAGGAGCAAUCUGCUAUGAGAUGGGCCCGCGGCGCAUUAGCUAGUUGGUGAGGUAACGGCUCACCAAGGCGACGAUGCGUAGCCGACCUGAGAGGUGAUCGGCCACAUUGGGACUGAGACACGGCCCAGACUCCUACGGGAGGCAGCAGUGGGGAAUAUUGCACAAUGGGGGAAACCCUGAUGCAGCAACGCCGCGUGAGUGAUGACGGCCUC
rnacentral:rRNA from 1 species